CUCGCUAUAUAGUACAGACAAGUGUCGGCGGCCAUGUAUAUAGCCCAAGGAACCCAUCUAUCAAUGUCACAUACGGGCAAGUCAAUAUCACUGGCCUUUAGUUGAAAGAAAAAUGAAAAAGAAAGGAAAACAUUAAUCAUGAAAAUAAAAUGCUACAUUCAAAAUAUAUAAUAAGUUUAGGAAUUGUAUAGGCUGCUACCGAUUCUAGAACCCAAUGUAAACUAUCUCCGUAGACCUCCAAAGAUAAUAGGCAAGGGUUGGAGAGCUGGGCUCUGGCCGAGCCCUCCGAUGUUUAAGUUUGAAAAAGUUAUUUUUU
rnacentral:lncRNA from 1 species